ensembl:lncRNA
AGAAAGCCUUGCCUCCCCAGUUGGCAGCAACGAAUCCAAAGAAAAGUUAUGGCCAAUUUGACAUCUACGAGCAGGAAUCUCCAAUGUCCGACUGCUGUGAAUGCAGCACGAGAUGACGUCAGAGCAAGAGACGCUUCGUUUGUAAAACUGAGUGGCGCGAAGCGAAGAGCAGGAGUCGCGAGGAAAGGAGACACGGGAGGAAAGAGACGUAUCCAUGUCCAGGUGUGAGGUGCCAGUGCAGCCAAAGCAAGAGAGUUUCCCUGAGUCCCUCCAGGAGCAGGAGAAUCUUCUGCAGCCACUGGUACAAAUCUCACCUGGUUAGAAGACUCGCAGUCCAAACAUGCAGUGCACUGUUUUGCAUGUAGGCAUUUUUCCCUCCCGAUGCUCCAAGGACUGUUUUCAUCUCAUUCAAGGGUUAUCGUAAGUGGAAAAAAGCUGAAAUGAAAGACAGUGGUUUCUGUUUCUGGUCCCAGCUGUGACUUUACUGAGGUUCACCCAGUGUUAGCAGCAGGAGGACAGUCAGCUCACCUCCCAGAGCCUCCAGCUGAAUCACUGGACACUGAUUUAGGGACCGUCAUUAAAUUACUGAGCACAAAUAUAUUCAUACUAAAUAAUUGCAGUUUUUUCGAUAUCUUCAAUGUCAUGUGACCCACUGACUCCAAACCAGCAGUAUAUAAGCAGCGGUAUUUAAAAAUAAAUUAGAUUCAACAAAUACGUUUCUGCAUUGUGCCAUUUUUUGUAAUUCUCAGUCUGGCAAUAUUUUUUUUCACAAAUCUCACCAGUAGUCUUUAUUUAAAGGGUUAUAUUUCUGAUUCAUUAACUAGAUUUUGUAAGUUAAUGACUCAGAGCACCGCUGCUACAAAUAUUUAUAGAGGAAAAACUGUGUUAUAGUUUUUUAAUGUCUCUUCUUUUACAUGUACAGUAUACAGCCUGUAUGAACCUACUCACACAAUGUUUCUGUACUUUUUCAGACUGGGGGCAAUAUGGACUUUUGUAUGACUUCUUUUCAGGUUGAUGGAGAUGUUCUUAUGUAACAUACCCUUUUGUAACUCUGUGAGCCUUUUUGUGUAAUUUGUUGAUACAGCAGCUCAGAUUUACAUGCAUGAAAUGUCCCUUUCAUGUCUCCUUAACUGCUGUGAAUACUGUAUAUAUUGUACUGUAUUUCUCAUGACUUUAUCAGUAAAGACCUGACCUGUCAAACAGUGUUCAAGCUACUGAGGGACAAAUAGGGAGAAUGUGUGUUCUGAGUAAACAAUAAAAGCGAUGUCCAGCACCUUGUUUGAGUGCCGUGCCCAUUUAUUACUACAGUGUAUUUACGCUCACCUUAGUACAGCUCAGUCCAUAGAUCUUCAUGGGUAAGUUUUUAUUUGGAUUGUUUCUUCUUGUACAAAUGCUGUCUGCAACACUGGCACUCUGACACAGUCAAAUCUGUUUGCUUCCCCUCUCACACAUCUGCCACUUAUCACCUGUGUCUUACCUUAAUGCCUUUCCUGUGAUAAUG